GUUGUAUGGUUAAGUGACUAAGCGUACACGGUGGAUGCCUAGGCAGUCAGAGGCGAUGAAGGACGUACUAACUUGCGAUAAGCGCAGAUAAGGCAGUAAGAGCCGUUUGAGUCUGCGAUUUCCGAAUGGGGAAACCCAACUGCAUAAGCAGUUACUGUUAACUGAAUACAUAGGUUAACAGAGCAAACCGGGGGAACUGAAACAUCUAAGUACCCCGAGGAGAAGAAAUCAACCGAGAUUCCGGUAGUAGCGGCGAGCGAACCUGGAUUAGCCCUUAAGCACUCGGUGAAGUAGGUGAACAAGCUGGAAAGCUUGGCGAUACAGGGUGAUAGCCCCGUAACCGACGCUUCAUCGAGCGUGAAAUCGAGUAGGGCGGGACACGUGAUAUCCUGUCUGAAUAUGGGGGGACCAUCCUCCAAGGCUAAAUACUCCUGACUGACCGAUAGUGAACCAGUACCGUGAGGGAAAGGCGAAAAGAACCCCUGUGAGGGGAGUGAAAUAGAACCUGAAACCGUGUACGUACAAGCAGUAGGAGCACCUUCGUGGUGUGACUGCGUACCUUUUGUAUAAUGGGUCAGCGACUUAUAUUCAGUGGCAAGGUUAACCGUAUAGGGGAGCCGUAGCGAAAGCGAGUCUUAACUGGGCGCUCAGUCUCUGGAUAUAGACCCGAAACCGGGUGAUCUAGCCAUGGGCAGGUUGAAGGUUGAGUAACAUCAACUGGAGGACCGAACCGACUAAUGUUGAAAAAUUAGCGGAUGACUUGUGGCUAGGGGUGAAAGGCCAAUCAAACUCGGAGAUAGCUGGUUCUCCCCGAAAGCUAUUUAGGUAGCGCCUCGGACGAAUACUACUGGGGGUAGAGCACUGUUAAGGCUAGGGGGUCAUCCCGACUUACCAACCCUUUGCAAACUCCGAAUACCAGUAAGUACUAUCCGGGAGACACACGGCGGGUGCUAACGUCCGUCGUGGAGAGGGAAACAACCCAGACCGCCAGCUAAGGUCCCAAAGUAUUGCUAAGUGGGAAACGAUGUGGGAAGGCUCAGACAGCUAGGAUGUUGGCUUAGAAGCAGCCAUCAUUUAAAGAAAGCGUAAUAGCUCACUAGUCGAGUCGGCCUGCGCGGAAGAUGUAACGGGGCUAAGCAAUACACCGAAGCUGCGGCAAUGUCUUUUAGACAUUGGGUAGGGGAGCGUUCUGUAAGCCGUUGAAGGUGAAUCGUAAGGUUUGCUGGAGGUAUCAGAAGUGCGAAUGCUGACAUGAGUAACGACAAAGGGGGUGAAAAACCUCCUCGCCGGAAGACCAAGGGUUCCUGUCCAACGUUAAUCGGGGCAGGGUGAGUCGACCCCUAAGGUGAGGCCGAAAGGCGUAAUCGAUGGGAAACGGGUUAAUAUUCCCGUACUUCUGACUAUUGCGAUGGGGGGACGGAGAAGGCUAGGUGGGCCAGGCGACGGUUGUCCUGGUUCAAGUGCGUAGGCUUGAGAGUUAGGUAAAUCCGGCUCUCUCUAAGGCUGAGACACGACGUCGAGCUGCUACGGUAGUGAAGUCAUUGAUGCCAUGCUUCCAGGAAAAGCCUCUAAGCUUCAGAUAGUCAGGAAUCGUACCCCAAACCGACACAGGUGGUCGGGUAGAGAAUACCAAGGCGCUUGAGAGAACUCGGGUGAAGGAACUAGGCAAAAUGGUACCGUAACUUCGGGAGAAGGUACGCUCUUGAUGGUGAAGUCCCUCGCGGAUGGAGCUGACGAGAGUCGCAGAUACCAGGUGGCUGCAACUGUUUAUUAAAAACACAGCACUGUGCAAAAUCGCAAGAUGACGUAUACGGUGUGACGCCUGCCCGGUGCCGGAAGGUUAAUUGAUGGGGUUAGCGCAAGCGAAGCUCUUGAUCGAAGCCCCGGUAAACGGCGGCCGUAACUAUAACGGUCCUAAGGUAGCGAAAUUCCUUGUCGGGUAAGUUCCGACCUGCACGAAUGGCGUAAUGAUGGCCACGCUGUCUCCACCCGAGACUCAGUGAAAUUGAAAUCGCUGUGAAGAUGCAGUGUACCCGCGGCUAGACGGAAAGACCCCGUGAACCUUUACUACAGCUUGGCACUGAACAUUGAACCUACAUGUGUAGGAUAGGUGGGAGGCUAUGAAGACGUGACGCCAGUUGCGUUGGAGCCGUCCUUGAAAUACCACCCUUGUAUGUUUGAUGUUCUAACUUAG
rnacentral:rRNA from 1 species